AGCGUACACGGUGGAUGCCCUGGCAGUCAGAGGCGAUGAAGGACGUGCUAAUCUGCGAUAAGCGUCGGUAAGGUGAUAUGAACCGUUAUAACCGGCGAUUUCCGAAUGGGGAAACCCAGUGUGAUUCGUCACACUAUCAUUAACUGAAUCCAUAGGUUAAUGAGGCGAACCGGGGGAACUGAAACAUCUAAGUACCCCGAGGAAAAGAAAUCAACCGAGAUUCCCCCAGUAGCGGCGAGCGAACGGGGAGCAGCCCAGAGCCUGAAUCAGUGUGUGUGUUAGUGGAAGCGUCUGGAAAGGCGCGCGAUACAGGGUGACAGCCCCGUACACAAAAAUGCACAUGCUGUGAGCUCGAUGAGUAGGGCGGGACACGUGGUAUCCUGUCUGAAUAUGGGGGGACCAUCCUCCAAGGCUAAAUACUCCUGACUGACCGAUAGUGAACCAGUACCGUGAGGGAAAGGCGAAAAGAACCCCGGCGAGGGGAGUGAAAAAGAACCUGAAACCGUGUACGUACAAGCAGUGGGAGCACGCUUAGGCGUGUGACUGCGUACCUUUUGUAUAAUGGGUCAGCGACUUAUAUUCUGUAGCAAGGUUAACCGAAUAGGGGAGCCGAAGGGAAACCGAGUCUUAACUGGGCGUUAAGUUGCAGGGUAUAGACCCGAAACCCGGUGAUCUAGCCAUGGGCAGGUUGAAGGUUGGGUAACACUAACUGGAGGACCGAACCGACUAAUGUUGAAAAAUUAGCGGAUGACUUGUGGCUGGGGGUGAAAGGCCAAUCAAACCGGGAGAUAGCUGGUUCUCCCCGAAAGCUAUUUAGGUAGCGCCUCGUGAAUUCAUCUCCGGGGGUAGAGCACUGUUUCGGCAAGGGGGUCAUCCCGACUUACCAACCCGAUGCAAACUGCGAAUACCGGAGAAUGUUAUCACGGGAGACACACGGCGGGUGCUAACGUCCGUCGUGAAGAGGGAAACAACCCAGACCGCCAGCUAAGGUCCCAAAGUCAUGGUUAAGUGGGAAACGAUGUGGGAAGGCCCAGACAGCCAGGAUGUUGGCUUAGAAGCAGCCAUCAUUUAAAGAAAGCGUAAUAGCUCACUGGUCGAGUCGGCCUGCGCGGAAGAUGUAACGGGGCUAAACCAUGCACCGAAGCUGCGGCAGCGACGCUUAUGCGUUGUUGGGUAGGGGAGCGUUCUGUAAGCCUGCGAAGGUGUGCUGUGAGGCAUGCUGGAGGUAUCAGAAGUGCGAAUGCUGACAUAAGUAACGAUAAAGCGGGUGAAAAGCCCGCUCGCCGGAAGACCAAGGGUUCCUGUCCAACGUUAAUCGGGGCAGGGUGAGUCGACCCCUAAGGCGAGGCCGAAAGGCGUAGUCGAUGGGAAACAGGUUAAUAUUCCUGUACUUGGUGUUACUGCGAAGGGGGGACGGAGAAGGCUAUGUUGGCCGGGCGACGGUUGUCCCGGUUUAAGCGUGUAGGCUGGUUUUCCAGGCAAAUCCGGAAAAUCAAGGCUGAGGCGUGAUGACGAGGCACUACGGUGCUGAAGCAACAAAUGCCCUGCUUCCAGGAAAAGCCUCUAAGCAUCAGGUAACAUCAAAUCGUACCCCAAACCGACACAGGUGGUCAGGUAGAGAAUACCAAGGCGCUUGAGAGAACUCGGGUGAAGGAACUAGGCAAAAUGGUGCCGUAACUUCGGGAGAAGGCACGCUGAUAUGUAGGUGAAGUCCCUUGCGGAUGGAGCUGAAAUCAGUCGAAGAUACCAGCUGGCUGCAACUGUUUAUUAAAAACACAGCACUGUGCAAACACGAAAGUGGACGUAUACGGUGUGACGCCUGCCCGGUGCCGGAAGGUUAAUUGAUGGGGUCAGCGCAAGCGAAGCUCUUGAUCGAAGCCCCGGUAAACGGCGGCCGUAACUAUAACGGUCCUAAGGUAGCGAAAUUCCUUGUCGGGUAAGUUCCGACCUGCACGAAUGGCGUAAUGAUGGCCAGGCUGUCUCCACCCGAGACUCAGUGAAAUUGAACUCGCUGUGAAGAUGCAGUGUACCCGCGGCAAGACGGAAAGACCCCGUGAACCUUUACUAUAGCUUGACACUGAACAUUGAGCCUUGAUGUGUAGGAUAGGUGGGAGGCUUUGAAGUGUGGACGCCAGUCUGCAUGGAGCCGACCUUGAAAUACCACCCUUUAAUGUUUGAUGUUCUAACGUUGACCCGUGAUCCGGGUUGCGGACAGUGUCUGGUGGGUAGUUUGACUGGGGCGGUCUCCUCCUAAAGAGUAACGGAGGAGCACGAAGGUUGGCUAAUCCUGGUCGGACAUCAGGAGGUUAGUGCAAUGGCAUAAGCCAGCUUGACUGCGAGCGUGACGGCGCGAGCAGGUGCGAAAGCAGGUCAUAGUGAUCCGGUGGUUCUGAAUGGAAGGGCCAUCGCUCAACGGAUAAAAGGUACUCCGGGGAUAACAGGCUGAUACCGCCCAAGAGUUCAUAUCGACGGCGGUGUUUGGCACCUCGAUGUCGGCUCAUCACAUCCUGGGGCUGAAGUAGGUCCCAAGGGUAUGGCUGUUCGCCAUUUAAAGUGGUACGCGAGCUGGGUUUAGAACGUCGUGAGACAGUUCGGUCCCUAUCUGCCGUGGGCGCUGGAGAACUGAGGGGGGCUGCUCCUAGUACGAGAGGACCGGAGUGGACGCAUCACUGGUGUUCGGGUUGUCAUGCCAAUGGCACUGCCCGGUAGCUAAAUGCGGAAGAGAUAAGUGCUGAAAGCAUCUAAGCACGAAACUUGCCCCGAGAUGAGUUCUCCCUGACUCCUUGA
rnacentral:rRNA from 1 species